UCUGUAGACAGCACUGCAGAAGGAUUAGUGAGUAGAUGGCUCGUGAGCCUGUAGGAAAAUGGUAGCGAUCAGGAGGCAUGGUCCUGGGUUCUCCAAGUACCAAUCCAGACAACGGAAUCUCCUUUACCUGGCUGAUGGCUUUCUAGACUCGUUGACAUGCAAGGCACCGUGGAUGUGCUGUUUUCAAAUAUGGAAAGGUCUGCCGUGAAAAACUGAGCAGAGAUAUUGGCUGCAGUGUUAGAAACAGUGCUUGGCAGCCAGGCUGACAGACCCGGGUAAACGACAGUGAUGGAUGGCUUCGAGCAGGGCCCCUUAAUCUACCGUUCUGCCAUUGAUUAGUUUGGCUGCACAGCACCCCGGGGUGGUGGACGUGACCUGUCUCCUAGAGUGGAGAACCUGAGCUGGGCCUCUGGACUUGGAGGGGACUCUGAGGAGGGAGGCGUGGGGCGGGGCGGGGCUCUGCACUGGAGACACUGAAGGCUGACACAGAACAAUAGGAGGCUUCUGUAGUUAUCAGUAGAGAUAAAGGGACAGAGUCCUGGAACCUAGGGUCUGGCCCCAGCCUCAGUUUCCAUGAGCAUCAUAGGCUUCUCCCCCAUGCCCAGCUAAGUGCCUGGGUCCAGAUACCUCAGAAGAUCUGAGGAGGAUGGGCGAAGGUCAUCUGGGUCAUCCCAGAUGGAGUUGGGGACAUCCCAUAGGAAGACAGCAGAGAUGAAGCUCUUGGAGAGAAGCUCUUGGAAAGAGCCACCACUGCAGAGGAACCAAAAGAUUACCAGCCAUGGAAGACUUCCAACUUGGGUCAGGUGACAAUGCGUGAUUCCUCUCGGCACCAGAGACCUGUGGAGAGAAGGAGGUGUGGAGGAGGAGCCAGGUUGCUGCGUUGGGAGAAACAUUGGAGUGGGAUGUGGGGAAGUUUGGUCUUCGCUCUCCUUCCCGUAGGGUACUUGGUGGUGAAGGGCAUUGAACAUGGUGGAAAUGGCCCUGGGUUUCUGUACCCUGAGUCCAAAUAAUAGCAACACAUGCGUGUGGUAGUGUGCUUCCCUUGUAUAGAAAUGCUGUGUGUGCCUGUGUGUGCAAAUCUAUUUCCCUUAUCUUAAGGCUGAACAAAUGAAGGCUCAGAGUAGUCGAGCAACACGGCCAAGGUCACAUAGGUAAAAGUGGCUAAACCUAAAUUCAGACUGUCUCUGCCUGUACUAUAGAACCACUCGGCUGUGGGAA